rnacentral:rRNA from 1 species
AUUGAACGCUGGCGGAAUGCUUUACACAUGCAAGUCGAACGGCAGCACGGGGCAACCUGGUGGCGAGUGGCGAACGGGUGAGUAAUACAUCGGAACGUGCCCAAUCGUGGGGGAUAACGUAGCGAAAGUUACGCUAAUACCGCAUACGAUCUACGGAUGAAAGCGGGGGAUCGCAAGACCUCGCGCGAAUGGAGCGGCCGAUGUCAGAUUAGGUAGUUGGUGGGGUAAAGGCUCACCAAGCCAACGAUCUGUAGCUGGUCUGAGAGGACGACCAGCCACACUGGAACUGAGACACGGUCCAGACUCCUACGGGAGGCAGCAGUGGGGAAUUUUGGACAAUGGGCGCAAGCCUGAUCCAGCCAUUCCGCGUGCAGGAUGAAGGCCUUC